AAAUUUUUUCCCAACCUCCAGACCCAGUAAUUAGAACGUCACUGGAAAAAAAUGAUGAGUAAUUUUAGCAAUGAUCCAGUCUCAACUACACUACCAUUAUUAUUUGCUCUGCUCUGCUCUGAUCUCGCGCUACAGUCUCCGCUGACUCCAUGCAGUACCUUGUCCAUUGGUGUGACGUGUUCGAGGUCGUUUGACGAGUGAAUGACCAAAAAAAAUUAAUAAAUACCCGGCGAGUACAUACAUUGUGCAUUUUACGAAAGCUGAGGAUUGGCCACAACGAAAAAAUAAUCCAGAGGUGAGUAAGAAAAACUAUAAUUUAUUAAUCUUGAAUUAUUGAUGAUUAAAAAAAAUUCAAAGUAAAAAAAUAGUUUAAUUAAAUAAUAAUAGAUGGGAGUGGCAGUCCUUAAUUAAUAACUUACAACUUAAUAAACAGCAUCUUAAACCUUAAAAAUCCAUUUAUCACUCAUUCAUUGUUGCUUUAGGAACAGCUAGUAGCGAGGUUCGGUAACUCUAUCACGCAAUUAAUUUUUUUCGUACGAAUACAAAAGUCAAACUA